rnacentral:rRNA from 1 species
UACGGGGGGUGCGAGCGUUGUUCGGAAUCACUGGGCGUAAAGGGCGCGUAGGUGGUUUGAUAAGGGUGUGGUGAAAGUCCGGAGCUCAACUCCGGAUCUGCCGUGCCGACUGUCAAACUCGAGGGCUGUAGAGGCAGACGGAAUUCCGGGUGUAGCGGUGGAAUGCGUAGAGAUCCGGAGGAAGACCGGUGGCGAAGGCGGUCUGCUGGGCAGUUUCUGACACUGAGGCGCGACAGCGUGGGGAGCAAACAGG